AAGUCGUAACAAGGUUUCCGUAGGUGAACCUGCGGAAGGAUCAUUCAAGUGAAUGUUUAAAAACUUCUACCCAAUGUGAACUAUUAGUUACCUUUAGUGCCUUUUUCUCGGGGUUUUUCUUUUGUUGGCUGCGUUUUCUUUCAUUCAUCCUAGCCGUUUUUCUAGCACUUUAAGUUCAGAGAAAACGGGAAAAGGAAGUAAAAUGCUACCUAAAGAUUAGUAUACCUUUAUACCCACAAAAUUUAUACCUUCUAAUAUGGUGAAGACCUUUAACAAUACUUAAAACAAUUUACAACUAUUAACGGUGGAUCCCUCGGCUCUCA
rnacentral:misc_RNA from 1 species